rnacentral:rRNA from 1 species
CGAAAACGAAUUCUCUCUUGAGUGGAUCCUGAGUACGACGGAGCACGUGAAAUUCCGUCGGAAUCUGGGAGGACCAUCUCCUAAGGCUAAAUACUCUCUAGUGACCGAUAGUGAACCAGUACCGUGAGGGAAAGGUGAAAAGUACCCCGGAAGGGGAGUGAAAGAGAACUUGAAACCGUGUGCUUACAAGUAGUCAGAGCCCGUUAAUGGGUGAUGGCGUGCCUUUUGUAGAAUGAACCGGCGAGUUACGAUCUGAUGCAAGGUUAAGCAGAAAAUGUGGAGCCGUAGCGAAAGCGAGUCUGAAUAGGGCGAAUGAGUAUUUGGUCGUAGACCCGAAACCAGGUGAUCUACCCUUGGUCAGGUUGAAGUUCAGGUAACACUGAAUGGAGGACCGAACCGACUUACGUUGAAAAGU